UUUUUUUCUUUUUUUUUUUUUGAGACAGGGUCCCUCAGUUGCCCAGGCUGGAGUGCAGGGGCAUGAUCUCAGCUCACAGCAAUCUCCACCUUCAGGGCUCCAGCGGUUCUCCCACCUCAGCCCCCCAAGUAGCUGGGACUACAGGUGCACACCACCACACCCAGCUAAUUUUUGCAUUGUUUGUAGAGAUGGAAUUCGCCAUGUUGCCCAGGCUGGUCUUGAACUCCUGAACUCAAGCGAUCCUCCUGCCUCGGCCUCCCAAAGUGCUGGGAUUACAGGUAAGAGCCAUCGCGCCUGGCCAACAGUGGGUAUAAUUAAUGGGACUUUUUUCAUCGGCCUCAUCAGGAGGAUAGGACACAGCCUCACUGGUGCUAAGUGCUAGGUGCUGACAUGUGGGCCACUGAUGCAAUGGGCAGGAGGGUUAGUGGGGAAGGCAUUUCAGGCACAGUGAACAGCACAGACAUGAAGGCGAAAAAUGAAAGAAAACGAAAUGCCACAGCCCUGAGCCAUCCAGGGUGCUGGGAGCAGUGCAGAGCCACUGCCAACCUCUGUGUGUUGCAGGCAAGAGCAGGCGUGGUGAAGCUGCGGGGUGGACGCCAGAGUGAUCAGAAGUCUAGCCAAAGGGGCGUGGACCCAACAGGGACAACCCUGGUAGGGAGAAGUCCCCAGGACUGGGCCACAAGGGCCUGAUCUCAACUCCUAGGUGUUGAGAGAGCCCGAGGCUGUGUGGGGCUUUGAUGCUCCUUCUGUGGGGUGAGGGUGGGUGAGAAAUUUUGAGGAGUUGCAGGAGAGGAAUCUAGAGGGGUGUGUGUAAGAGAGAGAGAGAGAAAGAAAGGGAGAGAACUAGAAGGUCGGAGGCCAGUACCAAGGGGCAGCCAGAAUUCAUGCCCGUUCUGGGGAGGGAGCAAGCAGUGCAGGUCUAUUUCCCAGGCCGGGCUGCAUUGCCCUCCAGUACUAGGAGGUACAGGGGCCUCUGUGGGAGAGCAGGAGGCUGCCCAGCACAUGCCCUGUUUUUGCUCAGUCUAAUUCUCCUCCCUGGCCUGCCUUAACCCUGCACCCAGACUGUUUCAUCAGGUCAUAGAGCAGCUGGGUGUGAGUGUGUGGGUGUUUGUGUGUGUGUGCACAUGCAUGCGGGUACAUGUGGCGUUUCUGGAUCAGAGAAUGCACAGAGGACCUGCUAAAGGUCAGGUCAGUAAGGAGUGAGGGCAUGGCCAGCCCCUCAGGCCCUGGCAUCCUGAUAGCUCCUUCCCACCCAAGGGGCAGUGGCAGCUGAUAGGCCUCUGAGUCAGGAUGGGUGAGGAGGAGGAGCUGGAAGGGCCAGCCAAGGAGGAGCAGGUCAUCACCUGCUGAGUGGCGGGUCAUGCAUUAAGCCCGGCGGUGGGGAGCAGGGCUGCAGGGGGCCCGGGGUUGGAGGGGAGGGCGAUUUCUGCUAUUGAGACAAUAGGCACCCCAGGUCUGUGUUACUGGGGCUGGGGGCCAGGAGGCAGGAUAGGACAUGCUCUUGCCUCCCCACCUCCGCUCUGCUCAGCAGCUGGUGGAGGCCUGGGAGGUGAAUCCCAGGUUGAUGGCCAGUGUGGGCCCAAGAAAGUCUUUGGGGAUUUGAUGCAAUCCCGAGUCCCUGAUGGCUCAUGGAGAGGCUGUGCCUGCACCUCUUGUCGGGGAGCCAUCUGGGGCUCGCCCCGCACCCAGCACAUGCCUAGGAGCGUAGUGAACUCCGUCACUAGGAGCGUAGUGAACACCGGAAGGCCGAUGAAAAGAUGCACUUGAGGCCUGAGCUCUCUGUGUCCAGAAGCAGCCCUCUCAGGUUGUGGGGGGACACUCUGGGUCUUGCACCUGCUAAGGCCCCUGCCACAGAGAAUGGGAAC
rnacentral:lncRNA from 1 species